GACGAACGCUGGCGGCGUGCUUAACACAUGCAAGUUGAACGGUUCAAGCUAAACAGCAAUGUGAGGCUUGGAUAGUAGCGGACGGGUGAGUAACGCGUGAGUAACCUGCCUUUGUGAGGGGGACAACAGCUGGAAACGGCUGCUAAUACCGCAUAAGGCCACGACCCCGCAUGGGGAUGUGGUAAAAGAUUUAUCGCACAAAGAUGGACUCGCGUCCCAUUAGCUAGUUGGUGAGGUAACGGCCCACCAAGGCUUCGAUGGGUAGCCGACCUGAGAGGGUGAUCGGCCACACUGGAACUGAGACACGGUCCAGACUCCUACGGGAGGCAGCAGUGGGGAAUAUUGGGCAAUGGGCGCAAGCCUGACCCAGCAACGCCGCGUGCAGGAUGACGGCCCUACGGGUUGUAAACCUGCUUUUCCCCGGGGCGAAUAACCCCCUCGCCGAGGGGGAUGCCGGUACCGGGGGAUAAGGAAUCGGCUAACUCCGUGCCAGCAGCCGCGGUAAACCUGUAGUCGU
rnacentral:rRNA from 1 species